rnacentral:rRNA from 1 species
GAUGAACGCUGGCGGCGUGCUUAACACAUGCAAGUCGAACGGGAAUUACUUUAUUGAAACUUCGGUCGAUUUAAUUUAAUUCUAGUGGCGGACGGGUGAGUAACGCGUGGGUAACCUGCCUUAUACAGGGGGAUAACAGUCAGAAAUGGCUGCUAAUACCGCAUAAGCGCACAGAGCUGCAUGGCUCAGUGUGAAAAACUCCGGUGGUAUAAGAUGGACCCGCGUUGGAUUAGCUUGUUGGUGGGGUAACGGCCCACCAAGGCGACGAUCCAUAGCCGGCCUGAGAGGGUGAACGGCCACAUUGGGACUGAGACACGGCCCAGACUCCUACGGGAGGCAGCAGUGGGGAAUAUUGCACAAUGGGGGAAACCCUGAUGCAGCGACGCCGCGUGAAGGAAGAAGUAUCUCGGUAUGUAAACUUCUAUCAGCAGGGAAGAUAGUGACGGUACCUGACUAAGAAGC